GGCCUUAUGGUGUAGCGGUUAUCACAUCGGAUUCUGAACAGGGAUUUCCGGGAACCCAGGUUCGAUUCCUGGUAAGGCCU
rnacentral:tRNA from 1 species